AGUGAACGCUGGCGGUAGGCCUAACACAUGCAAGUCGAACGGCAGCACAGGAGAGCUUGCUCUCUGGGUGGCGAGUGGCGGACGGGUGAGGAAUACAUCGGAAUCUACUUUUUCGUGGGGGAUAACGUGGGGAAACUUACGCUAAUACCGCAUACGACCUACGGGUGAAAGCAGGGGAUCUUCGGACCUUGCGCGAUUGAAUGAGCCGAUGUCGGAUUAGCUAGUUGGCGGGGUAAAGGCCCACCAAGGCGACGAUCCGUAGCUGGUCUGAGAGGAUGAUCAGCCACCCUGGAACUGAGACACGGUCCAGACUCCUACGGGAGGCAGCAGUGGGGAAUAUUGGACAAUGGGCGCAAGCCUGAUCCAGCCAUACCGCGUGGGUGAAGAAGGCCUUCGGGUUGUAAAGCCCUUUUGUUGGGAAAGAAAUCCAGCUGGUUAAUACCCGGUUGGGAUGACGGUACCCAAAGAAUAAGCACCGGCUAACUUCGUGCCAGCAGCCGCCGUAA
rnacentral:rRNA from 1 species